AUACGGAGGGUCCAAGCGUUAUCCGGAUUCAUUGGGUUUAAAGGGUCCGCAGGCGGGAAAAUAAGUCAGUGGUGAAAGCCUACAGCUCAACUGUAGAACUGCCAUUGAUACUGUUUUUCUUGAGUAUAGAUGAAGUGGGCGGAAUAUAUCAUGUAGCGGUGAAAUGCAUAGAUAUGAUAUAGAACACCGAUUGCGAAGGCAGCUCACUAAACUAUUUCUGACGCUCAGGGACGAAAGCGUGGGGAGCGAACAGGAUUAGAUACCCUAGUAGUCC
rnacentral:rRNA from 1 species